rnacentral:rRNA from 1 species
GACGAACGCUGGCGGCGUGCUUAACACAUGCAAGUCGAACGGAAAGCCCCCUUUGGGGGGACUCGAGUGGCGAACGGGUGAGUAACACGUGGGUGAUCUGCCCUGCACUUUGGGAUAAGCCUGGGAAACUGGGUCUAAUACCGGAUAGGACUCUUGGCUGCAUGGUUGGGAGUGGAAAGCUUUUGCGGUGUGGGAUGGGCCCGCGGCCUAUCAGCUUGUUGGUGGGGUGAUGGCCUACCAAGGCUGCGACGGGUAGCCGGCCUGAGAGGGUGUCCGGCCACACUGGGACUGAGAUACGGCCCAGACUCCUACGGGAGGCAGCAGUGGGGAAUAUUGCACAAUGGGCGCAAGCCUGAUGCAGCGACGCCGCGUGGGGGAUGACGGCCUUCGGGUUGUAAACCUCUUUCACCAUCGACGAAGCCUCUUUGGGGUGACGGUAGGUGGAGAAGAAGCACCGGCCAACUACGUGCCAGCCGCCGCAGUAACAC